CAGCCGCCGCGGGAAUACGGAGGGAGCUAGCGUUGUUCGGAAUUACUGGGCGUAAAGCGCACGUAGGCGGCUUUGUAAGUUAGAGGUGAAAGCCUGGAGCUCAACUCCAGAAUUGCCUUUAAGACUGCAUCGCUUGAAUCCGGGAGAGGUGAGUGGAAUUCCGAGUGUAGAGGUGAAAUUCGUAGAUAUUCGGAAGAACACCAGUGGCGAAGGCGGCUCACUGGACCGGCAUUGACGCUGAGGUGCGAAAGCGUGGGGAGCAAACAGGAUUAGAUACCCGCGUAGUCCCUGUCUCUUAUAC
rnacentral:rRNA from 1 species